UACAGAGGUCUCAAGCGUUGUUCGGAUUCAUUGGGCGUAAAGAGCUCGUAGGCGGCUUGUCGCGUCGGCUGUGAAAACCUGGGGCUCAACCCCGGGCCUGCAGCCGAUACGGGCAGCUAGAAUUCGGUAGGGGAGACUGGAAUUCCUGGUGUAGCGGUGAAAUGCGCAGAUAUCAGGAGGAACACCGGUGGCGAAGGCGGGUCUCUGGGCCGAAAUUGACGCUGAGGAGCGAAAGCGUGGGGAGCAAACAGG
rnacentral:rRNA from 1 species